rnacentral:rRNA from 1 species
UACGGGGGGUGCGAGCGUUGUCCGGAAUCACUGGGCGUAAAGGGCGCGUAGGUGGUCUGAUAAGGGUGUGGUGAAAGCCCGGGGCUCAACCCCGGGUCGGCCGUGCCGACUGUUGGACUAGAGUGCUGUAGGGGCAGGCGGAAUUCCGGGUGUAGCGGUGGAAUGCGUAGAGAUCGGGAGGAACACCUGUGGCGAAGGCGGCCCCCUGGGCCGGCCCUGACACUGAGACGCGAAGGCGUGGGGAGCGAACGGG